AAUGAACGUUGGCGGCGUGGAUUAGGCAUGCAAGUCGUGCGGAAAGGCUCCUUCGGGAGUACUCGAGCGGCGAAAGGGAGAGUAACGCGUGGAUAUCUACCCCCUGGACUGGGAUAGCGGCUGGAAACUGCCGGUAAUACCAGAUAACGUCUGCGGACCAAAGGUGUGAUUCCGCCGGGGGAUGAGUCCGCGUCCUAUUAGCUAGUUGGUGGGGUAAUGGCCUACCAAGGCAAAGAUGGGUACCGGGUUUGAGAGCAUGGCCCGGCUCACUGGGACUGAGACACUGCCCAGACACCUACGGGUGGCUGCAGUCGAGAAUCUUCGGCAAUGGGCGCAAGCCUGACCGAGCGACGCCGCGUGCGGGAUGAAGGCCUUCGGGUUGUAAACCGCUGUCAGAGGGGAGGAAAUGCAUGGGGGUUCUCCCUCAUGUUUGACCUAUCCUCAGAGGAAGUACGGGCUAAGUUCGUGCCAGCCGCCGCAGUAAGAC
rnacentral:rRNA from 1 species